CAGCAGAAGCAGUGUGUUAUUGCUCCUUGCACAGAAAAGGGAUAUUUAAAGAACCGAGAGUGAGCCAAAUACUACAGGGAUUAUAUCAAAAGCAACACUUCGACAUCUGGGGGUGAACCGUCAAGCUCUUGCGGCGACAAGUCAGCACAAUAUGAGAUAGUUGAGCCUCUGAUCUGAUGAACGCGCGUGCGGAGACUGUUAACGUGACAAACACUGAAGUCUUUAUAAAUCAGGAACCAUUAGGCAAUGUGUGUGAGUCAGAGGAAAGAGCCUCAGGUGAACAGAGGAUUUGUCAGAGAGGUGUGUGAUUGUGUCUGCGUGAAGCAGUCCUCAGGGUCUUUCAUCUAAGAGUGCACUCAACAGUCAACAACGUCGAAAAUCGCCUACUUUAAGCGAAAAUAUGCGGAAGAGGAGGAUGUUCAGGGAAGCCUACAUGGAUAUUUACAAAA